ensembl:lncRNA
AUUAAAAGGUAAAACAAUAAUUUUUUUUCACUAAAAUCCCAGUUUUCUUUAUACCCUACACAUUGAAGAACUGGGUUAGAGAGUGCAAGUUCCAACUGGUCAUUUUAAAUCCACAAAGCCACCUGUGACAGGCUGCCACUAAACAAAUGAGCAAUUCCUGCACUCUCCUUAUCUAUAAUUAGCUCUGGAUUGAGGGGCUGUGCGGCCACCCACUCAGGACCACUCUUGGAAAUCCAGGAGCUGUUCUUAACUCUUCCUAUUUCCACUUAAGACUUCAAACCGCCUCCUUUGGUUUGAGACUUCAUCCCUCGAUGUGAGACCAGGAGCUUGGCACAAACAGAAACAGUAUUAUUUGGGGUCCUGCACAUCAAGCUAAGUAUAUCAUUUCCAUGAUGUCAAAAAAAAGACUCAAUUUAUUAACUCACAGAAGACAAUGAAAAUGCCUUUCAUCGCAAAGUUGAUCUGCAAGUGGACCUUUGUACUUCUAACUGGCAGAAGCGCCUGACACGAGUGCCACAGCAGAUGUGCAGAGGUUGCUACCAUUUGACAUCAGGUCCUAACGAGCUGGGUAGAGGAAGGUGUAGGAGGCUGCGCAGUAUAGCGCUCUUCUGUCACGUGUGGACCAUCACCCAUGUGGUUCUACAUUCGGGAACCUAAGUGUUACCUUGACUCUAAUCCAUCAACAAGUUUUGAUUUUACUCUUCAAUUUCUCUUAAGUCCAUCUACUUCUUUUCCACCACUGUCCUAGUCUAUGCCUCCAUCGUCUCUUUCUUGAAAGACAAUAGUUACUCCUAGCUGAACUCUUCUCUCCCUUACUAGCCAUUUCUCCUUUCUUCUCCAGUCUGCCAAGCCUCGGUACAGUUUUCAAAAUGUAAGUUUCACUGCCCAGUCCUUUCCCUAGUCCCCUUUUUUUUUUUGUACCAGGGAUCAAACUCAGGACCUUGUGCCUACAAGGCAGGUGAUGGAACCACUGAGCUAAAUCCCCAGCCCUCUCUAGUCACCUUUUAAGUGGCUGCUUUUGCUUUUACUUCAACAGGGCUGUCAUGGGGUCUACAGUGUCUUGGGAAACGCCCCCUCCUCCUACCACCACCUGGCCUCUCCUCUGCCCACCUGCACUCUUCACUUUGCUAACUCCUACUAUCCUUCAGAUGGAGCACAUUCCUUUCUUUUCUAUAACCAUCAUUAUCACUUAAAUUUAAUUAAUGUUUAUUUGGGACUCUCAGUUCCAUAAGGGCAGGAAAUGUCUGUUUUGGCUGCAUUGAAUCUCCAUCAAAGAUUAAAUGAAUGAGUAUCUUUAGUACAUUACUGUAUUUUAAAAUACAUACAAGUUUGUACUGCAACACAGAUUCUCUAGCUCUUUGCCUGGAGGUGGGGACUACACAUUACCACCCCCACCCCCAACACUGCACAACACAGACACAUUUCAAGAAGGUCCUAUUUUGUUAUCAUGUAUUAUUUGCUGAAUCUCAUUUCCCCACAGAUUUGUAAGGUUUUCUUGGUUACAGAUCAAAUUUACAUAUAUGCACGAGUCUAUUUCCAUGUCUAUCGAUGGAGAUUACUGUGUCUGCUACUUCAGCUUUAUGAUGUUACUGUCUUCACACUAGCUAACUAGCUUGUCUGAAGAUAGACAAGUCACUUUUGCCCUCUUUUUUAAUCUCUCAAAUGCAUAAUCAUAAUAUCCACAUACAAGGUUGUUUAAAGGAAACAAGCCUGGUAUGUAAAGCCCCAGACAGAAGCCGGUCAGGGUGGCGCACGUGCGCCUGACUAUCUCAACACUCCGGGAGCUGAGGCAGGAAGAUCACCCUGAGUUUCAGGCCACCCUGGG